rnacentral:rRNA from 1 species
GAUGAACGCUAGCGGGAGGCUUAAUACAUGCAAGUCGAACGGUAACGAUGGAGCUUGCUCCAGGCGACGAGUGGCGAACGGGUGAGUAACGCGUACAUAACCUACCUUUUACUAGGGAAUAGCCUUGGGAAACUGAGAAUAAUACCCUAUGGUAUCCUAUUAUUUCAUGAUGAUAGGAUUAAAGUUUCGGCGGUAAAAGAUGGAUGUGCGUCUGAUUAGCUAGUUGGUAAGGUAACGGCUUACCAAGGCAACGAUCAGUAGGGGGCGUGAGAGCGUGAUCCCCCACACGGGUACUGAGACACGGACCCGACUCCUACGGGAGGCAGCAGUAAGGAAUAUUGGACAAUGGGCGAAAGCCUGAUCCAGCCAUCCCGCGUGCAGGAUGACGGCCCUCUGGGUUGUAAACUGCUUUUGUGUAGGAAGAAACGCCUUCAUUUAUGAGGGUUUGACGGUACUACAAGAAUAAGCAUCGGCUAACUCCG